AUACGGAGGAUGCGAGCGUUAUCCGGAUUUAUUGGGUUUAAAGGGAGCGUAGGCGGGAGCUUAAGUCAGCGGUUAAAUGGUGCGGCUCAACCGUGCCCUGCCGUUGAAACUGGGUUUCUUGAGAGUGCAAGAGGCGGAUGGAAUUCAUGGUGUAGCGGUGAAAUGCUUAGAUAUCAUGAAGAACUCCGAUUGCGAAGGCAGUCCGCUGGGGCACGUCUUACGCUGAUGCUCGAAGGUGCGGGAAUCAAACAGGAUUAGAUACCCUGGUAGUCCGCACGGUAAACGAUGAUUACCCGCUGUCGGCGGCAGACAGUCGGCGGCCAAGCGAAAGCGAUAAGUAAUCCACCUGGGGAGUACGCCGGCAACGGUGAAACUCAAAUGAAUUGGCGGGG
rnacentral:rRNA from 1 species